rnacentral:rRNA from 1 species
GGAGGAAGGUGGGGACGACGUCAAGUCAUCAUGGCCCUUACGAGUAGGGCUACACACGUGCUACAAUGGCGCAUACAGAGGGCAGCCAACUUGCGAAAGUGAGCGAAUCCCAAAAAGUGCGUCGUAGGCCGGAUUGGAGUCUGCAACUCGACUCCAUGAAGUCGGAAUCGCUAGUAAUCGUGGAUCAGAAUGCCACGGUGAAUACGUUCCC